rnacentral:tRNA from 1 species
AGGUCUGGUUGGGAACAAAAUAGGGCUGCUAACUUUGUUUUGGGUAGUUCGAGUCUAUCCCAGACUUU